GACAGAGGUGCCGAGCGUUAGGCGGAAUCACUGGGCUUAAAGUGUGUGUAGGCGGGCGAUCAAGUACCUUGUGAAAUCCCACGGCUCAACCGUGGAACCGCUGGGUAUACUGGUUGUCUUGAGCCGGCUAGGGGCGAGCGGAACAGACGGUGGAGCGGUGAAAUGCGUAGAUAUCGUCUGGAACGCCGAAGGUGAAAACAGCUCGCUGGGGCCGCGCUGACGCUGAGACACGAAAGCCAGGGGAGCGAACGGG
rnacentral:rRNA from 1 species